GCUGCUGUGACUUAGUUGAUGAAAGCACCUGUCUAGUAAACAGGAGAUCCUGAGUUGAAAUCUUAGCAGUGCCU
rnacentral:tRNA from 1 species